CCGGGCGUCCCCUCGCCUUCACGCGCAUUUCUGGGAAGGACGUGUGCGGAGAAACAAGUCGUCCACCGAGCUCGACAGAAGAGAGAGAGGAAGAAGAAGAAGAGUAGGAGAGUGGAGGGAGAGGGAGAGAAAGAGAGUGUGGAGCGUCGGCGGCCCGGGCACGGAAGAGGCUUGAACGCGUGCAGCUGCUGCAUUAAGUUUUCCCCAUCAAAGCGUGGGGUGAUGAAUUGAUGGUCAUUUGUGGUCAUGCUUGCCUUCAUGGCUCCCUUUGAGGCUCCUCAGCACUCCUCCGUCCGAACAGAUCCCGGCGGAGCAACCCGAUAUCACGCCGAACGAGAUGACCAAGUUCAGGGCCCGCCCGUCGCCGCCUCCUCCCGCCGCCGGUCGGCCGCGGGAUCAAUGGAAUACCGUCGGGAUACGCGGCGGGCCGCGCCCACGCGCUCGCCAAUGAACCGUAUGAUUGGACGUCGUCGACCACCGCCGAGGCUUUCAUGCAAAUUGAUGAAGGUCCAGUCUUUCCCGUCCUGAUCCCUUCCUCCCAGCGGAGGUGUGAGAUGGGAAGCGCAGCGCCGGCUGGCCGGCCGCCGCCCGUUCCACACGGCUGCGUCCCAAAGAGCAGUGGCAAGACUCAACUCCAAUUACGAUUUCUUGCGUACCUGGAGCUGGAAAGCAAAGCGUGUAGAGUCUCUGUGCAGUCAAGACACUCUAAUGAAGGCGGAAGUGAUAGCCGAAACACGUCAGGAGACCCGGGCGACGUUCCAUUUGCGAGCGUGUCGAGCCAGAGUGACGUUAAUGGCGGCGGAGAGGAACAAACACAUCAGAGCGGCGGGUGGAAAAGAGGACGCCCAUGUGAGCAAUGAGGAGAGAUGGAUGGAGGAGAUGAUGGUGGGAGGGGCAGGAGGGGGCGGCCAAGGCGCCUCGCCUCGCAUUGCCCCAGAAAAGAGGAGGGGGAAGCCAUGUGUGAAGAAAACAGCCAGCCGAGCAGCCCCCGGGCCUCCUCAGCAUCAGAUGUCAGCCUCCUGGAGUCAAAAUAUUCUUCCAAAGAUGUUCCUCUUCAGCUCUCGUGAGAAACGGCACUAAACGAGCUCGAGUGAGACUCAUGAGGCGUACACGGAACAACCAUCACAUCAGUCUACAAAAAAAAAAAAAGCCCUGCUGUGUCCUUUAACGGCUUAUUACGGUGUGCCGUUCAGCAGCUCCCAAAGCUACGUCAUCAACUUGUUUGUUGCCCCCUUCAGAAGUGCACGAGGUGUCACCAAGGAAGAGAGAAAGAGAGA